rnacentral:misc_RNA from 1 species
CAACCCUCAGGAGCACUUCGGUGCGACUGGUGUUGGGGAUCAGCGUAGGCGCGGGGUCUCGACCCCGCCGGCUGGCCCUUAAAUACAGUGGCGGUCUCGCUGCGGACUCCCUCGCGUAGUAACUCACCUCGCAAGCGGAAGCCCGGCCUGGCCACGCCGUAAAACCCCCUAAUUCUUUUUAU